GGUGAAGCUGCCAGCAUGAUCUGAUGGUGGUAUAUAUGAAUAUAUGAUGUCUUUACCUCUGAUCUCUCCCUGACUGUCACGGAUCGAUGAAUCCAGGAUGAGGGGAGGGAAUAAUGAGCAUCAGGUCAUGCUGUAGUUUCAUC
rnacentral:pre_miRNA from 1 species